rnacentral:tRNA from 1 species
GCCCUCGUAGCUCAGCGGCUAGAGCGGCUGCCUCGUAAGCAGCAGGUCGUGAGUUCAAUUCUCACCGAGGGCU